UGUGGUAUCGAAGUGGACUCCAAACAAUAAACAUCAUCCAGAUGCCAUGGAAAUGAAGCAUGCAACUUCAGUGAACUUCAUCCCCAGAUGCCAUCCUCAACACGUUGCCAAAAACUCAUUAGGAUCGCCCCUGAGGGUCUAGUCCGUGCAACUUCAUCGGUUCUCAUCUAACCCUAUAAGUCAGGCAUCUGCUGACCUUAUGGUCGAGACUCUUCCGACCACACAAAAUGUCUUCCCAUGGUUGAUACUGAGAAGGAUGCAACCAGGCC
rnacentral:lncRNA from 1 species